AAUGCACCUUGCUAACAGAUAAGAUUAUGCCAUAAUUUUACAGUUGAAAUGUUCAGGAUGUUAAACCAUUUUUGCAAAAUAUGGUUUUAAGCGAAGUUGGGGAAACAAAAUUUAGUACUUAAAAAAAAAGAGUAAAAUCUUCCUGAAACUUAUUUUUGUAAGAAGGCAAGAAUCCUAACGUUUUUUUUUUUUAUUGGCAACACAUCCAGAUGGUACUUAAGUCAAUUUCCUGGAUGGUCUGCAAAUUUAAAAAGUUUGCAAUGCACUAAAAUGCCACGGCUUCUCCAGAUUAGGAAGGAGACUUGAGAGAAUUUGGUAAAUUUAGGAAUAUGAAUGUGAGACUAGAAAACUCACUCCUGACUCCUAGCAGAUGUGUGCCACUGGACUGAACCAAACUCAAGCACAUUUCUCAGCACAGUCAAGCCGUCUUUGCUCAGGGUGUAGAAGGUGUACAACAGUGCUCCACAUGAGUCCCUACCUGUGGAAAUCUGCAAACUGAACACAACUGCUCUCACUCUUCAUAACCCGGCAAACAGCUCAUGCUCCCGGAGCCGGAGGAGGAGCCAGAGGAAGCCUACAGGAAUCCAGCCCAUGAAGAGCCCCACACGUUUCAGCUGGAUGUCGAGACCCAGGUGACCUUGGAGCCCAUGUGUUGAGGAUGCCAGUGCCUUUGUCAACCUGAGUCCCUGAAUGACGCCAUGGAGCCAAACACCCCCUUCACCACUCCCACUGUCACCAACCAGGUACACCCACAUCGAACUUUCUGUGAGUAAAAAGUAAAUGUCUAUUGUGUGAAGUCACUGAGAUUUGCGGAUGCCUCUAUUAAAGGAGCUAGUGUCACCUUAAUUAAUAUUGUAGACAAUGUGUUGAAUGAAUUAACGUGACUUGAAAAAAAUUGUAUUGUGUUGACACUACCAUUUGAGGAGAAAUUUUACUAGAGGGGAGAAAUUUAUGGUUAAGGGUUAGUGCUCUUUUUCUAUAAAUCCCCAUCAGCCACUUUCCUGUCUGCUCCGUUAUCACUGGUGCUUAACCACUGUAGAACUCCAAGAUUCUGGGUUUCCCCUAAAUCUUCACCAGCUCCAGGGCAGCUGCUAUCAACUCAACUAAUAUAAUUGCAAACUACUUAAAAACACAAAUCCAAGAAAGGGAUAGAUGACAUCCCCUCAAAUUGGCAGAGGCCUCCUUGUCCUGAUGAGCUUUACUGCAUUCAUGUCAGUUGUAUACCAAUCACCUGGAAAUUUCAGUUACAGAAAACAUUCGAUUCACCAACCCUGAUAAUUAAGUGCGGGGUUACUAUCAAAGGGAGUCACUGGUUGGCUUAAAUUAAAUAUCAAACAAUAAGCAAAUUUUAAAAUGCCUUGCCCUAAAUGUGGAGACACCAUUGCUUAAUAAUUAUAUAAUGACUGGAGAAAAUGAUGUAAAAUAAGAAAAGGGAAACACAGGUUCUGAUAACGUUUAUUCGGGGAAGAGGCAGAGUGCUUCUGGAUGAAGAGGUAGUCUAGGGAUGGAGUUGGCCAAAAUACAGAAAUUCGAGUCAUUUCAGUAGUUUACGGCAGUGUUUCUCACUAAAAAUGUGCAUUUAUGCACACUAGGAACUGGAAACUACUAAUCUACCACAAUGAAAAACAAGACUGUUUCAACUGGAGCAAUCUUGACUCCAAGACUCAUCGUAUCCUUCAGCCGUCUACAGGGCUCCCUCCUUCCUUCAGGUUCCUCAUCAAACGUCGCCUUCUCUGAGAGGCACGCCAUCCUCGAUCACCCCAGAUGAUAUAAAUAGUGCACAGGUGUGCCCCCCACCCCUGCACCACCACAGUCAUUCUCUAUCCCUUAUACCGUUUUGUUUUUCUUUAUUUUACUUAUAGAAACUUGAUUCUUCAGCACCUGGCACAUAAUAGAUGCUGGAUAGAUCUCUGCUGAAAGAAUAAAUGAAUGAAGGUUUAAAAUGAUGAUAAUCCCUGGAAGGCGUGAUCUCCUUUCUUCUCUCAAGAUUACUGUGUCUACAAAAUACAACACUGGCCAUCUCUGGGAAGUGAUGGAUUAUGGGCUUUUUUUUUUUUUACAUUUCUUUUUUUCCUUAAAUUUUCUACAGUAAACAUGUACUACUUAAAUAACAGAGAAAGUAUGAUUUUUCAAAGAAAACAUAUUUUUAAAUAUUAGGUAUAUACUCUGUCCAUAUGUCUGAAUUGAUCUUCAUACUUACCGUAAUAGACUAAAAGUUCUCCCAUCAAAUUAUCAUAGUCCCUAAAUAAACAUAAAA